GAUGAACGCUGGCGGUAUGCUUAACACAUGCAAGUCGAACGGACUCUUCGGAGUUAGUGGCGGACGGGUGAGUAACGCAUGAGAAUCUGGCUUUGGGUUCGGGACAACCACUGGAAACGGUGGCUAAUACCGGAUGUGCCGAGAGGUAAAAGAGAAAUUGCCUGAAGAUGAGCUCGCGUCUGAUUAGCUAGUUGGUGAGGUAAAGGCUCACCAAGGCAGCGAUCAGUAGCUGGUCUGAGAGGAUGACCAGCCACACUGGGACUGAGACACGGCCCAGACUCCUACGGGAGGCAGCAGUGGAGAAUUUUCCGCAAAGGGCGAAAGCCUGACGGAGCAAUACCGCGCGAGGGAAGAAGGCUCUUGGGUUGUAAACCUCUUUUCUUAGGGAAGAACAAAAUGACGGUACCGAAGGAAUCAGCAUCGGCUAACUCCGUG
rnacentral:rRNA from 1 species